ACACUUAUUCUAAUCUCACAUACUAUUUAGGAUGGAUAGUAUGAACAAUGGGACGCAGGGUCAGAUACACAUAAUGGAGAAAAAUGGUACACAGGGGAAAGCAAUUAACAUACAAUAGACAAUGCAUACUGAUACUACAAAUAAACUUCCCCUUAUGUGGCAAUGCUACAAGAUGGCACAAGCUGAUUGGUCUCGAUUGCAUCUGCAGCCAUUGAGCUUUCUGCUAAUCAUUUAAAUGUUUGGUUCUGUGUUUGCAGUAAUUAAGUCAAGCAUCUCAGAAAUUCAGCAUCUUACGAUAAGUGAACAGUCUUUCAUUAUUCCAAAUGACUGAAAUGUUGUGUGUUCUGCAUUUAUAAUUUCCUAAAUGAAGCAACCAUACUUAAGUUUUAAAUCAUGAUUGAUAUUUAACAAGUUGUAUGAUGCAAGGAGUGAAUAAUUAAGCAAAGCUAACAUAGUGCGAAAAACAGCAACUUUUCUUAAGUUAAAAGUGAAAUAGGCAUUGGCAUGAGCAAGUAGGAGAAAGCAACAGGAUUGUUCAUGCAGUGUGAAUCAGUGCAUAUUUGUAUAGGGUCUUGUGAGCAAUUCUAAGCAUAUAUGCUUUGCAUCCAAGUAACACUUUUCAGUAAGUAUUGUCAUGCAGUAACACGUAAAGAGUAUUAAAACUUGAUCUUAAGAUACCAAUGAAAGUUAAUGAGUUAUAUCAAGUAGUGAGGACAAAAUAGAAUUCAUGUACAAAUAGAGCCAAUAAAAACCUAGCAUGUGUAAAUGAAUUUGCUGGGUAAGGAAAUUUGCAUUUCUCCUUAAGAUAUUUGAGCCCAAUUAUGCAUAAGAAAAAAAAAUAUCAAUGUACCUAUGGAGCAUACUUAUACUUCUCAUGUCUUGGUAAAUCUGUUUUUGGAGGGCUAUAUUGUCCUGUCCAGUCCUGUUUACUGCUAUCCCAUAUUUGGGGAUGUAUGCAUGUCUAUUGAUGCAGCAGCCUGUUUUACAUACUGCAUUUAUUGGCUUGUGUUGUUCUUGUCCUUUGUCUCCUGAUUUGUUUGGGGAUAAUUUAAUGUAUGCUAUUUGUGUGGCGGCACAGUCUGUACUUGCUCUGCAACAACAGCACCAAUAAUCAACAGCAGCAACGUAGCACAGCGAGUCUGUCAAAAUCAAAUACAUUAUCAUUGUCAUAUCCAUUACCAUGCUAAACUAUUUUAACAGUUGUCAUGACUGAAAUAUCUAGUUCCGUCAUGAAACUGUAGAUGGCCGCUGAUGGAUAUCACUUUAUCAUUACAUGGCACAAGCUGAUUUGUCUCUGUUUCAUCUGCAGCAAUAAGCUUGCUGCUUAACAUUUCAAUAGUUUGGUAGAGCAAACUGGCUGUAAGCAUGUCUUGUAGCAUGCUACCAGAAACCCUCUACCUCAAUCCAAAAAUAAAUGAUCAAAACACACCCAUUUGCCAUCCUUUGUCUUUGUCUUUGUGUUUGUGGUAAGCAUCCUCCUCCAUGGUUGGAGAAAAAACCCUAGCCAACUCCAGUUCCCACAAUGCCCUUCUCCAGAGACACCAACUGCAAGUCUGCAGUCAGCCUUCCUAUCAACUACCUAUCAUUUUUGUGCAAAAGAUUGACAUUGACAUUCCUAUUGUGAUUCCCAGCACUAACAGUUCCACAAAAGUAAAGGCCGAAAUUAGGGCAGGUGAGAGCGACCAUGCCAUCAGAGGACCCAUCUUCUUUCCCAUCUGUGCGCUCUCUUUUACUGUUAUACACUCACCUCCAUGUGUAUGUGUUUUUCAUUCUGAUUUCCAAGAACAUAUAUACAGACCUGUGAUGACUGAAUCUUUGCUGACCAUAGCUUUGAAUUUCCUGUAACGCAAAUGUGUUAAU